GGAGAGGUGACCGAGUGGUCGAAGGUGCACGACUGGAAAUCGUGUGUACCCGCAAGGGUACCGAGGGUUCGAAUCCCUCUCUCUCCG
rnacentral:tRNA from 1 species